AUGUCGUUGAAUCUUCUUGUUGAAUGCACUCAUUUUGUAAACCAGCUGUUUACAUGUUUUGCCUUUUCUUUCAGAUACAUCUAUUGUGAUGAAAUUGACUUGGCUGCUGACACAGUGCUGGCCACUCUUUAUGCUGCCAAAAAGUACAUUGUCCCUCACCUUGCCAGAGCCUGCGUUAAUUUCCUGGAGACCAGCCUAAGCGCCAAGAACGCCUGCGUGCUCCUCUCCCAGAGCUGCCUGUUCGAGGAGCCAGACCUGACCCAGCGUUGCUGGGAGGUGAUUGAUGCCCAGGCUGAGUUAGCGCUCAAGUCUGAGGGAUUCUGUGAUAUCGACUUCCAGACUCUAGAAAGUAUCCUCCGCAGGGAAACUCUGAAUGCCAAAGAAAUUGUGGUUUUUGAGGCAGCUCUUAACUGGGCUGAAGUAGAAUGCCAGCGACAAGAUCUAGCUCUGAGCAUUGAAAAUAAACGCAAGGUCCUAGGAAAGGCACUUUACUUGAUUCGCAUACCUACAAUGGCCCUCGAUGACUUUGCAAAUGGCGCUGCACAGUCCGGAGUAUUAACUCUUAAUGAAACCAACGACAUCUUCCUCUGGUAUACUGCAGCCAAAAAGCCCGAGUUGCAGUUUGUGAGUAAAGCCCGCAAGGGCCUUGUCCCCCAGCGCUGUCACCGUUUCCAGUCAUGUGCCUAUCGGAGCAACCAGUGGCGCUAUAGAGGUCGCUGUGACAGCAUCCAGUUUGCAGUUGAUAAAAGAGUGUUCAUUGCUGGCUUUGGGCUGUAUGGUUCCAGCUGUGGCUCUGCAGAAUAUAGUGCCAAGAUUGAACUCAAGCGGCAGGGUGUUGUCCUGGGGCAGAACUUGAGCAAGUACUUCUCAGAUGGCUCCAGCAAUACCUUCCCUGUGUGGUUUGAGUACCCAGUGCAGAUUGAGCCAGACACCUUCUACACAGCCAGUGUGAUACUGGAUGGCAAUGAACUUAGCUACUUCGGACAAGAAGGCAUGACGGAAGUUCAGUGUGGCAAAGUGACCGUCCAGUUUCAGUGCUCCUCAGAUAGCACCAACGGCACUGGGGUGCAGGGAGGGCAGAUUCCCGAACUUAUAUUCUAUGCCUGAAAACUCACUUCCUGGAGCAGUGUGGGCUCCGAGGUGCACAUCUGGUCCCCAUGUGCUUGAUGCUUUAGCUCAUCUGCAGAUAUACGAUCAGCGCAGGUAAUUUGUAAUGAAUGAAGCAGUAGGCAGUUUCUAAUUACUUUUAACCUUUUAAUUAUGUACAGGCAAAAAUGCAGCGUUCUGCUUUUAACUGUGUGCUUAAAAGAGCCAAGUUCUUAUUAAGGCUUUGUGGUUUUUAAAAUUGCGUCUGUGCACGUGGGGAGACUUUGUGCUCUUCCAAGUGCCAUACCAACCUCCCAGUUUUGUUCCUCUGAAGAAAUUUUUGAUCACCUCAAAUUUCCUUUUGGACUUUAUUGAUGAAUAGAGAGAAAUAGUCUAAAAUAAGAAGAAUUAUUUUUAAAUAGAACCCUCUCCAACAAAAACACAGAUAAACCUCAGUGUACAAUUUUGAAAGAGACAGUAGUCAUGUUUAGCUCUUUAUUUCUUUUAAAUUUGUUGCUUCUGGGCUUUUUUUUUUUUAAAAAAAAUCCUAAAAUCAUAAGAUUGUUACAUAUUAAACACUUCAAAGUCAAUUGUAAAAAAGGAAAAUAAGGAAUUGGGUGUAUGUUUAUGCCAUGACUUCUACUAGAAGGAGAUUAAUAUCCUUUAGUGUAGAAGACAAAAUAUCUGAUACAGACACUUCUUUUAGAAAAAACUAAGUUAUAAAAUUUUAUUGUCAAUAGAAAAAUUGCAGGCCUAUUAAUUUAAACUAAAACAGUUUGAGAAGGAAUCCUAAAAAUUUCCAUCCUAAAAAUAGUUUAAUUAAUGGCACAUUAGAAUACACAUUUUGAAAAAAAAGCAAACACUUUUCUUGCCACUUAGCUUUUGAUCCCUACUAUUUGCUUGCUUUUAUGUCAUACUAUAUAGAAUUCCUAUUCCCUUUUUCCCCAUUCAAAGAGGACCAAACAUUCUUUAGAUGAAUGGCGUAAGGUAACAGUUUUGUAGCACUAUGUGUGAAUGUGAUAAGAUACUUUUAGUCAUUUUAUUUUUUUUAAUCUGAAAUAUACUUUACCUAAUCUAUUCUGACCAUAUACUGUCUUCUUUGUUAAUUAUAAUUCUGUCCUGUUCCUAGACUGCUAGAAUCUGUCCUCUGGCCAUCUUAAAGUGCCAAUGUAUACCUGCACAAUUUUUAAAAAUGGUGUGGAGCGACAAAUAUGAUUAUACCUAAUAUUCACUGCACCAGUAUCACAUCCAGCUCUCGUUUGUCCACAGAUAAUGUAAACAAAGGAGGGAAAAGCUCAGUAAAUGUUCUCCUCAGUGAUGACUUGUGCCUGUAACACUGGCAGUGUCCAGUGUGUUCACGUCCAGUGAAAGUAUCCAUGUGUUUCUGGGCAGCUUUUCUGCUCAGUGUGAUCCUGAGAUGGCCUCCCCCGCCACCCAGAGUGUGGUCCCUGGCCGCCUCCUUCUCCUGCUCUGCAAGCCUGAAACUGGCCUGUCUGGAGCUAGGGGUUAGUCCUGGGGUGUGUGUGUGUGCGUGCUCUUGUGCAUGCAAGUGUGUUUGCCGACUCAGGAAUUGUCUCCUCUCUGCCUGGCAGUGAGAUGUGGGACAGUAAGGUCCCCCUGCUGGCCCAGCAGGGCCCAGUGAGUGAGUGCUCUUAUUUGUUCACAGUGCUUCUGGGCCACUUCCUUCCCUGCAGAUGUGGGCUCGUUGCCUUCAGCCAGCUUCUCUGAAGGAGGAGAACACUGGACUACGGGAGAUAUUUUAAACACAUUUGCCAUUACCUAUGUCUGUUAGCAUAGAUGAUCAAAAGCUGUUACUGCUGAUUGUAGAUGAGUACUCCCAGGACAACUUUCCAAAAUUACCUAACAAUUAUUUCUUAUUAGGGAGAUUACAGUUAGUAGUUUUGGCAAAGCAUUGAUGAAAUAAAGGUAUGUUUUCAAUUUAAAAAAACAUACUUCUGAAAAGGAUUUUAUUGUUAAAUUAUGGUUAAACAUUUCAGUAACUCAUAGCUACCAUGCAAAUUGGUAGACCUGAUUAGAAGGCACUCAGUCUUAAGCCAGAAGAGUAGGAACUUUAUUUAGCACUCAUUUCAUCCCAUCAGAUUGUGGGUGUCAUCAGUGUAGAGUACAGAUCCUUCCUUCGCUACGCUCGCCAUCAGCGCUCUGUUAGCUAGCUGCCCUCCACGUCGCUGGGGAACUGCUGGUGCACAUGCGUGAGCUCCUGUACACUGGGUACAGGAGAACCAGAUUUAUGUUAAUGUAGUUACUAAAAUAUAUAUAUAUAUAUAUGUGUGUGUGUGUGUGUAUAUAUAUACACACACACACAUCCACCAUCUGAUUGGUUGGUGCCAAGAGCUGCAGGUAAAAUUUGAAAAUUGUAUUUAGAAUAAGAAAUUUUAUAUUCUAAACCCUAUUCUUCUUUCUGCAUUUUCAACAAAAUGGAAUGAAAUCUAAUGUGCUUGCUUUAUUUUCUUUGGUAAUUUUGAAUUUUGUAGCUUUUAAAACUAAAAACCAUUGUUCUAACAAGGCAGGCAAUUCUAGUGUAUAAACACAACGUUAUUAAACAGAAUAUGCUGUAGAUGCUUUUCCCGAUGUAUCUGGCAGUGUUUGUCGUUGUUCAUACUGGGGAUAAAGGGGAUUUAGGCUAGCAGUUCUAAUGUAACAUUCUUUAAGCAUAUCUUAAAAUAGUAUUUAAGUAAAUGAUCUAAUUUCUACAUAAUUAUUGCACUGAACUGUCUUUUUUGUUUUUUAAGGUGUUUAAAUAAGCUGAACUAAUUCAAGAUGCUGUAGCCACUUGUGCAUCAGUGUGCUUGAACUUAGUAGCUUAUAGCAUUAUUUAUGAAGGAAAAAUAUAUACAUAUGAAGUACCUCAUGUUGAAUGUUAUUGUACUGUAUUUUUAAUGUAAAGUGCAGAUCUUGUUAGACACAUGAAUGUGUAUAAUCAUGUUAAAUGCAAAUAAAAUAAAACUGGUUCGUA